GAUGAACGCUGACAGCAUGCUUAACACAUGCAAGUCAACUUGAAUUUGGGUUUUUAACUUCGGUUUGGGUGGCGGACGGGUGAGUAACGCGUAAAGAACUUGCCUCACAGCUAGGGACAACAUUUGGAAACGAAUGCUAAUACCUAAUAUUAUGAUAAUAGGGCAUCCUAUAAUUAUGAAAGCUAUAAGCGCUGUGAGAGAGCUUUGCGUCCCAUUAGCUAGUUGGAGAGGUAACGGCUCACCAAGGCGAUGAUGGGUAGCCGGCCUGAGAGGGUGAUCGGCCACAAGGGGACUGAGACACGGCCCUUACUCCUACGGGAGGCAGCAGUGGGGAAUAUUGGACAAUGGACCAAGAGUCUGAUCCAGCAAUUCUGUGUGCACGAUGAAGUUUUUCGGAAUGUAAAGUGCUUUCAGUUGGGAAGAAAGAAAUGACGGUACCAACAGAAGAAGUGACGGCUAAAUACGUG
rnacentral:rRNA from 1 species